UACGGGGGGUGCGAGCGUUGUCCGGAUUCACUGGGCGUAAAGGGCGCGUGAGGCGGCCGGGUCAGUCGGGCCUGUAAGUGCGGGGCUCAACCCCGUGAUGGGCUCGGGGACGGCCCGGCUGGGGCGCGGUCGAGGGAGACGGAAUGCCGGGUGUAGUGGUGAAAUGCGUAGAGAUCCGGCGGAACACCGGUGGGUGAAGACGGUCGUCCUGGGGCCGAGGGCCGACGCUGAGGCGCGAGAGCGUGGGGAGCGAACCGGG
rnacentral:rRNA from 1 species